rnacentral:tRNA from 1 species
GGGGAUGUAGCUCAGUGGUGCAGUGCCUGCCUCGCAAGUAUGAGGCCCUGGGUUUGAUUCCCAGUACCA